rnacentral:misc_RNA from 1 species
GGGUUAUGUCAUGGACCAGGAACCCACAGUGGAACUUGAAAAGAUGAUGAAAUCCGAGCCAGAUGAUUAUGAUGAAUACUUUGUCAUCAAUCCACUCCCAGUAAAGUGCACGGAAAAAUCAACAGAGGAGGCCCGGAACAAGUAUUCCCAACUUGUGAGCAAAAUGCACUCUGAAUAUAAAGAGGCAGUUGACGAGAAACGUAAAUUCAAGGUAUUUGAUGAGAAGCUCACAUUCGCAACUACCCAUGCAUCAAGACGA